GCCAGUGUGGCAUAGUGGUUUGGGUGUUGGACUAGGACUCUCGAGACAAGGGAUCAAAUCCUUUGAUUUACG